AUGUCAUUAAUUUAACAAUAAGUAAUUAAAAAUGAUAUCAUUUACGGAUCAAGAAAUCAUAGGAGGGAUGGCUAGAAAAUAAUUAAACUAAAAAAAAAAAAAGGAAAAAGAAAAAAGCUUAUCAGCCUUUGUUGAUAAGGAAAAUUUGCCACAAACUUGAACAAGUAGAUUAAUUUGUCUCAUUCUAAGAACACACCUGGUUCGUUUGUGAAGUAAAAACACUUCCAAGAUCCCCAGCACCUAUGGUCAACAACCAAACCCCACAAUCAGUCCUAAUUCCUAGUUAACUUGAAAUCAAAAUAUUGACAAUGAUUCGUUCAAUCCAUUCGUCACCUACCUUCAAAACCGAGCAACCCCCAACUAUGGAUCCGAACGAGAUAGGUCACCACUCUCACAAUUCGUUACUGACAAAUCUGAAAGACCCAAUAAGACAACAAUUCACAUCUUCAUAGCUUAAAAGAAUAGAAAAGCUUCCCUUAAUUCACCAAACACAAUCACCUUACCUACUAAACGAGUGACGACAUAACCAGACCGCUCCUAUGCUAACCGAAUCGUUCUGGCCCUUAACCUUCAACAAUGAAACAGUCGACCUAUCACCAAAAAUCCAUAAACUAAAUAACACCACAGUUACAAAACUUACAACCAACGCGCAAAGACAAAACGGAGAUGACAAAUUGCGGCAACAAGAAUUUUAGAAGGAAAUGGACUACUAGAAAAAUCAAAGUAGGGAGAGAAUGAAAUUUUAGCAGUAGUCAACAACAAAUAAAAAGAUGAGAAAAGAAAGGCCAAGGGCACAAUUCGUAGAGAGAAUAAUAGCUAGGUAAAAAAAUAAAGGAGGAAAAACAGUUGGCUGCAAAGGAGAGAUAAGAAUCGGCAAAGAAAAUGAAGGGGAAGGAUAAAAAGAGAAGAUUCGACUAAGGGAGGAGGAGGAGGUUUGUUCACCUUUUUCUCUGAAAAGUAAAAAUUUGGGAAGCACAGAAUUCCACUCAAUCACCACUACCCCCUAAAUCCCUUGAUUAACUCCCCCUAUCCCUAAUUUCACUCCCCAACCGUCCACUACAAUCCCCUCAACCACCAAAUUCAAAUCCCACUCAAACUCUUCGGUCAAACUACAACACCCUCACGGCACAAGCAGUAAAAAUAAAUCCCAUGUUUGCACAAAGACUUGAACUCCAAACCUUCUACUUAAUUACACUCCACUUAACCACCAGACCAGUAAACCCAUUUUUACAUAUUUUACCAAUAUUUAUUUAUAAGCCUACUGACUAGAGAUAGAUGUUUAAUCAUUUAAAAACAAAAAAUUU
rnacentral:lncRNA from 1 species